UUGGAGGGCAAGUCUGGUGCCAGCAGCCGCGGUAAUUCCAGCUCCAAUAGCGUAUAUUAAAGUUGUUGCAGUUAAAAAGCUCGUAGUUGAAUUUCGGGAUCAAUACGUCGGUCGUGCUUCGGUACGUACUGGUGUCAUUGAUUUCUCCCUUCUGACGAACCAUGAUGUCAUUAACUUGGUGUCAUGGGAAAUCAGGACUGUUACUUUGAAAAAAUUAGAGUGUUUAAAGCAGGCUCACGCUUGAAUACAUUAGCACGGAAUAAUGAAAUAGGACGUUCGAUCCUAUUUUGUUGGUUUCUAGGAUCAACGUAAUGAUUAAUAGGGAUAGUUGGGGGCAUUAGUAUUCAAUUGUCAGAGGUGAAAUUCUUGGAUUUAUUGAAGACUAACUACUGCGAAAGCAUUUGCCAAGGAUGUUUUCAUUAAUCAAGAACGAAAGUUAGGGGAUCGAAGACGAUCAGAUACCGUCGUAGUCUUAACCAUAAACUAUGCCGACUAGGGAUCGGAUGAUGUUAAUUAUUUAAUGACUCAUUCGGCGCCUUACGGGAAAC
rnacentral:rRNA from 1 species